GGUCCUUCAUGUUAGAAAACCUGGCUUUACUACUACUACUACUACUACUACUACUACUGCUGCUGCUGCUGCUGCUGCUGCUGCUGCUGCUGCUGCUGCUGCUGCUGCUGCUGCUGCAUUUUUUAAAAAUAUAUUAUCUUAUUUUACUAUUUGAUGUUAUAAUUGUUAUAUAUUUUUCCACACUUCCUCAUACUGCUUAUCUCUUACUUAAGAAUUUAUGAAUAAAGAAUUGAUUUUUCAAUACAUCCUUCCAAAAAUUAUCUGAUGUUGAGUUAGUUGCUCUCUCUUGUGCAUUCUCAGUCCUCACAAGCCUUUCUCAAA
rnacentral:antisense_RNA from 1 species